rnacentral:rRNA from 1 species
AGGUGGUGGUCGAUGGUUGUCGUCAGCUCGUGUCGUGAGAUGUUGGGUUAAGUCCCGCAACGAGCGCAACCCUCGCCUCUAGUUGCCAGCAUUCGGUUGGGCACUCUAGAGGGACUGCCGGCGACAAGUCGGAGGAAGGUGGGGAUGACGUCAAAUCAUCAUGCCCCUUAUGACCUGGGCUACACACGUGCUACAAUGGGCGGUACAAAGGGUCGCGAACCCGCGAGGGGGAGCCAAUCCCAAAAAAGCCGCUCUCAGUUCGGAUUGCAGGCUGCAACUCGCCUGCAUGAAGCCGGAAUCGCUAGUAAUCGCGGAUCAGCAUGCCGCGGUGAAUACGUUCCCGGGCCUU